rnacentral:lncRNA from 1 species
GACAAAGCUUAGAAUUAUGAUUUCAAAGACUCCAGGGGAUUCCCAAGUGAUCACCUGCUUCAUUUUACUGAUCAGGAAAUGGAGGCUCAAAGAGGUUAAAUAGUGCUAGUGGUUGUCUAUCAUGUUGUUGCCAAGAGUUUACCGGACACAGGCAAUGGAGAAAGGGAUCAGUUCUUUGCUCUUUGAAACGAGAUGAUCCAUCUCACACUGAAAGUUUCCUAUCGUGAGGUUCAGUGUCAUCUAGAGUCAACGGAUGAAGUAUAAGUGUUCACUGUGGAAUUUCUACAACACAAAAAGAAGAGGCUGGAUAAAGAAGAUAAACUGAAUAUUGAAACUGUUCCUUUUCCAUUAAAAAAUAGCAAAAAAAGUUUUCCCUGUAA